rnacentral:rRNA from 1 species
UACGUAGGGGGCUAGCGUUGUCCGGAAUCAUUGGGCGUAAAGGGCGUGUAGGCGGCUCGGUAAGUCCGCUGUAAAAGUCAAAGGCUCAACCUUUGAAUGUCAGUGGAUACUGCCGGGCUAGAGUCCGGAAGAGGCGAGUGGAACUCCUGGUGUAGCGGUGAAAUGCGUAGAUAUGCGGAGGAACACCGAUGGCGAAGGCAAUCCCCCUGGACCUGUACUGACGCUCAUGCACGAAAAGCUGGGGGAGCAAACA